GCCGCACCACCGCCGCCUACACCGGCCGCCCCCACCCGCCGCCCCGGGGCGCUCAGCGCCGGCCCCCGCCGCCCCGUCCCGCCGCCGCCACCGCCAGCAGCGCCGCCGCCAUGAGCGCAGGGCCGCGCGCCUGGCUGCCAGUCAGCGGCUGGGGCGGGGCCCGCGCAGGCGGACAGCGGCGAGGGGGCGGGGCGGGGCGGGGCCGGCGGCCGCCCUGGGGCAGGACGGACGGACGGACGGACGGAAGGAAGGAGGGAGGGAAGGAAGGAGGGAGGGAGGGAUCCCGGCACCUGUCGCCGCGGGCAGGUGCCGCCAGCCUCGAGGAGGUUCCCAGAGUGAAGAGCGGCGAAGGCCCCUCAGGGGAAGGCGGCCCAGCCGCCCUCGCUGCUGCUGCGGGGACCUGGCCGCGCCUCUCCAGCCGCGGGUACGGAAGUAACGCACGGUCGUGGGCGGUAAUUCAUCCUCAACAUCAGCAAAAAGCCUCGAGAUUAGUGACGUUGUGAUGUUUCUGCUUAGAUACAUUCACGUAUUGCCUUAAUCCUGAUUUACUGGCCGAAACAACUUUAUUUUAUUAAGACCACUACUACAAUGGCUUUCUGACUUCUAACCAAGCAACAACUGUGAACUAGGGCAAAUCUAUUGAGACUGUUGUUUUACUUAAAUUUGUAUUGUGGUCAUCAGGAAAACCUCCAGCUUGCCUUUACUCAUGUCAAUAGUAAAGGACAGAAAGAUGAGCAGGCAGAACACCUAGACUGGGAGAUCGAUGGAUGGAUAUGGAGACUGCAGAGGAGCAGAAUCCACCAAGUCAAAUAACCCAGAAAAAAAGAGGAAGGAGUUUCCUCUUUACACCACCAAGCCCCACCCUGAAACUUCUCAUAACCUAAAUAAAACACAGUGAACUAUUCAAAAGGCAAAUAUUUAUUAGGUACAUUGAACUUUAAAAAACUUUCAAAGAAUUAUGCAAGAAAUGUAUUUAAAUAACAGGUGUUAUUGCAAUUGGGCUACAUUACAAAAUCACUUUUCUACUGUCUGCACAAUCUGAAGACCUUAAUGUUAUAUGCAAGAUAACGUGACACUGACUCUGGCACAUGGUAAGUGGUCUGCACUUUUUUUGUUCAAAUGUCAUUUGUGCUGCACUAGGUUGUUCUUGAAGACAAGAUCUUUGCAGAACUACACCUUUUGUGUGUCAGUAAAAGGAGCUGGCAAGGAAUAACAUGAACUGCUAUUUUCC